rnacentral:lncRNA from 1 species
GUGCAGUCGCUGUGUGUUUUAGGGUCUCAUACCCGUGUGCGCCAGCAGGACCACAGCUGUGACCGGCUGCUCCAGAAGAAGUGGGUGGGUUGAGACCCCACCGGCAGGGUCACUGGGGGUAGCAGGCCCUCUGUCAGCACUGACUUCUGUAUCAUGUCAGGGAUUUUUAGGGCGGCAAGCUCAGGUGGACAGGCAGUUUUAUUCUGUUUCCCAUGUCAAGUCCAGCCCCAGACUGACUUUCUGAGGUCACAGACGGAGCCUCACCCCAUCCAAGGCGGUGUCCUGGACUCCCACUGUGCUCCCCAGAGGGCAGGGUACCUGGGGCCCAGCCCGGGCGGCAGGAGGGACUCAGCCCCUCGCCCAGGCAGGAAGGGUCCCAAGCAGAGGCCCCUCCCUCAGGCACUCCCCAGCCCACACCUGCAGCACUGGGACCAAGACUAAUAAAACACCAGCCUCACGGAAGACAGCUUUAUCUUGUUGAUCGGAAGUCUGCCAGCCCAAUUUAUGAUGGAACAUAAGAUCUCUAAAUCUGAAUUUACGCUCUGUAGCGUAACGAGAGGUCAAUAAGAUUAAACGGGGGCUCAGGAGAGGACCAG